GAGGUUUGGGGUUAAUUUUACCUCAUUCCUCACUGUGUAAUGUCAGUCCCAUCUUAAAUUUCAUUAAGCCUUAUAUUAGUUCACAGUUUUGGGGGACUUUGGGGUAGAAUGCAAAGGGAUCAUGCUUAAUUAACAUUGUGUCUGACACAUGGUUGAACCAAAAUUCAAAUACAUUCUGACCAGCCAUACACAUUCUCAUCUUUGCCUGAUGUCUAUGGAUGAAGCUGGAA
rnacentral:lncRNA from 1 species